rnacentral:rRNA from 1 species
GUCCUAGCCCUAAACGGUGCUUGCUUGCUGUAAAAGGAAUCGACCCCUUUUGUGGCGGAGCUAACGCGUUAAGCAAGCCGCCUGGGAAGUACGGUCGCAAGAUUAAAACUCAAAGAAAUUGACGGGGGCCUGCACAAGCGGUGGAGUAUGUGGCUUAAUUCGAUGCAACGCGAAGAACCUUACCUGGCCUUGACAUGCAUCUAGUAGAAGGGUGAAAGCCUGACGAGGUAGCAAUACCAGGAUGCACAGGUGCUGCAUGGCUGUCGU